GGGGAUUUAGCUCAGCGGCAUAAGCGCCUGCCUUGUAAGCAGGUAGUUGUGAGUUCGAUCCCUGGUACCCA
rfam:Cavia porcellus supercont2_26 genomic scaffold, whole genome shotgun sequence.